CAGGACCUCUGGAAGAGCAGUCAGUGCUCUUAACCACUGAGCCAUCUCUCUAGCCCUACCUUAUUUCUUAAGACAGCCUCUCUCAUUGAACCUGGAGCUUGCCAACUUAUCUAGGUAGCUUAUCAGCAAGUCCCCUAGUAACUGCCUAUCUCUGACUCUCCAGUACGGAGAUUACAGUGUGUCCCACCAAACCCACAUAUAUUGUGUGGGUUCUGGGAAGAUCAAACAUAGGUUCUCAUGCUUGAACAGCAAGCACUUUACUGACUAACCUUCUCCACAGCCCCUUACAUUCCUUUUGGAAGAAGAUAGGCCAACAAUAAAAAGGAGAGUUAUGAACCUUGACCUUGAAGAGAAUUAGUCUGUUGGAGCCAACUCAUGCACUUGAAAAUAAUCCAAGGCACAGGAAAAAGACUUGAGCUUGCUCUUCAGUCUGAAUUGUAGAGCACAGGUGUUCCUCACACUCCUGGGAUGCUUUAGGAUUGGUGUGACUCAAGGUCACGGAGGAGUGGCCAGUAUCAACCCUCUCUUGAUCCUCUGAAGAAUGUCACCCUGUGUGUGGCUUGCUAUACCUCCCCCUCAUGGUUGUUGUCCCAGUUUAAUCAUUAACAAGAUGUUUUUAGACUGUCCUGUCCUAGCUUGAUAGUAGUUUCCAACAACCCAUGUUAGAAAUUCCUAGAAACUUGCUAAAACUGGGAUUCCCAGGUUGUACCUCAGAAACCACAGCCUCAACGUUGACCUGGGUAAGGUGGUGCACACCUAAAAGAAGAGGAUUGUGAACUUCAGGCCAGUCUGAGCUGUAUGGUGAGAUCUUGUCUCUAAAAUCCAAGCCAGCCAAGUCAGAAAAUAAACCUUGGAUAUAGAGGCUGAAGUGUCACCUUAGAGAUAGUCAAAUAGUGAAGUGGAAAGCCAGCAUCUAAGUGGCUGGCAUGACUGUGUGUCUGGCGUAUCACAGGACAGCGCCAGUGAGGACUGACAAGGAGCCACCUUUAGCAGCCUCCUAGCCCCAUAGCUUCAAGAUUCAGCCUUUAGCCUGGUUCCUUGCUAUUCAGAGCUUGCCAGUGGGGCACAUGCCCACUCAUGUCACUGUGGAGACAGCUGAGAGUAGGGUAUGCUAGUUGCCUUGUUCAGUCAGUGCCCGACUGAUAAACCAAUCAGAAUACCACAUCGUUCCUUAUAAACACAUACAGUCGUGUGUGUCUACUCAAAAUUUAAAAUAUAGGUUGUUGCAUGAGAGCUUGUUUGCCGUCUUCUGCGUGAGAGGAGGAACUGUUUUUUGUUUUUUGUUUUUUCCUUCUGGCUGAGUACCUGCUUCUGUGAGCAGGAAGGUGGAUGCCUUCAAGAAGACAGACCGUGCUUCUGGGCCAAGCUAAUGAUGGGUUAUGAGGUCACUGAGGUUCACGGACACCACUGGCCUCCCAGGCUCCUGCCUUUCUAACAUGGUCAUCUCAAGUGGCCUCUGGCACUUUCACCAAUGAAGGAUCUAAGCUAACACCUGAUACCUGUCAAGACUGAAAAGCGUCUGCAAUCAGAGGCUUUGGCAUGGCCCACUGAGGCCUGCAACCCUUGGGCAGGACUCAAGAGUCAGUCUUCUGCCACCAACUGGCUCCUGUCCUAGGAAAAGCUAAUCCAAGACAGGUGCUCACUAAUAAGGUGCAUCUCUAAAUGUUUCAGCCCCACGAGCAUGGCACUGGCUGACCACAAAACUGCCAAGAAAAGGGUCUCCAGCAAAACAAACAAACAAACAAAUCACUCUGGUGUUGUGGUGAGGGCCCAUCUAUAAUGCUAGCACCUUGGAGGUAGAGUCAAGACGUUCAGAUGUGGCCCUGUUGGAGUAGGUGUGGCCCUGUUGGAGUAGAUGUCUCACUGUGGGUGUGGGCUUUAAGACCCUUAUGCUAGCUUCUUAGAUGUCAGUCUCCCCUAGCAGCCUUCAGAUGAAGAUGUAGAACUCCCAGCUCCUCCUAUACCAUACUUUCCUGCAUGCUGCCAUGCUCCUGCCUUAUGAUAGUGGACUGAACCUCUGAACCUGUAAGCCAGCCCCUAAAUAUUGUUCUUAUAAGAGUUGCCUUGGUCUAGGUGUCUGUUCACAGCAGUAAAACCCUAGGACAAUCCCUAGGCAGGAAAACCCACCAAUCCCUAGGCAGGAAAGCCCACCAAUCCCUGAGCACAAAAACCUACCAAUCCCUAAACAGGAAACUCCAGCAAUCCCUAAGUGCCCCCAAACCCAGGACUUGAAAUCACUUGAAGUCACUCUGGAAAUCUCUGCCCUGAGAAGCUGCACUCUUCAGAAGUCCUAUAGAAGCCCUGCCCCCUUGUCCAGUUCCCCACUGUCCACUCCCAGGAGCAGAGGGCAGCCAUCCCUGGAUUCAUCCCUCCACACCCUGGACCCUCCAAUAAAUCUCCUUCAUGAGGG
rnacentral:sRNA from 1 species